AUGGCUUUGGUCUCCAUCUUCAUCUGGACGCUCACCCUCUGGACUCAAGGAUCCAGCGGUCAGGUGACGGUGACUCAGACUCCUGCAGUGAAAACUGUCUCUCCGGGAGACUCAGUGACCAUCAGCUGUAGAACCAGCCCUCCAGUAUAUCUUGAUAGCAAUGGGGAUUAUUAUAUGUUCUGGUAUCAGCAGAAACCUGGAGAAGCUCCUAAACUCCUGAUCUACUCGGCUAACAGGAAACAGUCAGGAGUUCCAGCUCGUUUCAGUGGCAGAGGAUCUGGAUCUGACUUCACUCUGACCAUCAGUAAUGUCCAGACUGAAGAUGCAGGAGAUUAUUACUGUCAGAGUCAACAUUAUAUCAGUGGUAGCUACGUGUUCCCACAGUGUUUAGUAGGUGUACAAAAACCCCCCUCAGUCCAG